GAAAGCAUUUAACUUGGACUGUUUCAGGGUAUAUCACUCUCAUAAAGCUGCUCUGGGCAGUUGCAUCUUUAAUGAGGUUCCUUAGAUAAGAGGAACAAAUACUCUCAACUGAAAGCUGUCUCAACAAGUAUGGAACUAUACUUAUUUAAUUCAAGCAAUGGGUUUACUCACACCCUUCCUUCUUUCAGAAAGGAUUUCAGGCAGCUUAGCAAGUGUGAAGGUCUAAAGGUAUAGAGACACCUGAAAGCCUCAGAUUAAUAUCUGGAACAUAUAACGUGUCCAGAUAGUUUUCAAUUAUCAAUACAUUAAUCUAACGCUUGGAAAGAGCUUUUAAACAGCAGUGAAACAUCAACUACCUUCGAACCUGAAUUUUUAGUAAGCUAUUUUGUCAUCUGGAGCCCUGCACAAUGUCCCUUUUGUUCCUUAAAAAAAAAGAAAGAAAGAAAAGCAACCUUCUGGUGCUGCUUUUGUUCGUCUUAUCAUCUUAUCAUUCAGCAGCCUAUUCAGGAUCACACGUGGGAAAGUGUGUAAGACUGACCCCUCUAUGCAGCGCAGGAAUUCCUUGGAAAAACAUCUUUCUUAAAUGGGUAGCUAUGUAAAAAGCAAAAGAGAAAUCCUACUUUUAUGCUGAAGUUGGCUUUUUGCUCCCUAUGUUGAAAUUCUAAUGUUUAAGAAAAUGCAAAGCAGACCCUCUCUGUGGCUGUCUUCACACUCCAGGGUUAUGACAGCAGCCGCUUACCUGAGGUUACUAGGGGAUUCUUGCAAUGGAAAGGAGAGAACACCGCGCUUUAAGCCAACGUGCUCUAUCUGAUGUUUUGUUUUUGAGAAUAGAGGGUGACAAAGAGAUAUAUUUUCUACUGAAUUAUGCCAAUAUUACAUGAACAUUAUGGGGAUAAGAAUGGUUACAAAGUUCCCUGAAAAUAUCAAUAUGUAUGAUUUGAGGGCCCAAGACAGAAUUGGGGGGAAAAAAAAAAAAAACCAACAACAAACAAAAGUAUUAUUAACAGAGUCCUGAUCUUAACACUGAAACAGAUGACAGUGUUUCAGAAUUUUGAAAUCCUGAUUACUGGAGUUACCAAAUUUAUACCCAGAUUCCAUCUGGGAAAUGCAGUGGGGCCAAACAUCUCACAACUGAGGAAUUCUCAUUACAAAUAGCAUUUCCAGAUGUGACAAACAAUUGGUCAGAUGCUACUGGACAUUUAGAAGCUUCACUGGGUGUUUCACUAAAUUUGGUGACAGCUGAUUAAUUAAACAGCCCAUUCUACAAAUACCACGAUUUUCCCUUGAAACAUUUCAUAGCAAUCACUACGCCGAGAAGAAAAAUGAAGUAUGAACUCAAUGGUAUGUGAAUAACUAAUUUCUGCAGGGUUUAUUCCUAUCCUAUACCAUUCGGCUUGGCCAUGGCCCAGGGUUCGGUUCCUCAGGAAAAAGGAGGAAUGGCCAUUGGGAAGCAAGUAGUGGACUCCAACCUUUAAGCUGCCCAAAUCUACCUAUGUACUCAUUCCCACGCAUGAAACGAGUUUCAUCUGUUUACUCCAUCUCGCUCAAAGCCGAGAACCUCUGUGCGCUUUCCUCUUGGUUGGGUUCCGAUGUGGCUGUUACAAGACCAAAAAUUAUUUCUCCUAUUAAACCAAACAGAAAAUGGUAGUGAAGGGAAUUGUAAUAAUGAACUCUGGGGAAGAAGGGAAAGGAAACACACAGCUGUUCCAGUUCCCCGGCAACAAUCAAGUGCAGCAGGGCAGAGACAGCACACCCGGGACAGACCAGAGCAAGGGCGGGUUUAGUGCUGCCCAGCUGACAGCCCACAUUUCUAAUCCCUGGGAGUGUUUCCCUUGCUCACUGUCCCCUCUGAGCCCAACACUCGUUCCUCCAGGAGGAAGUUCUGUAUCCAUUAUCUUUCGUGACCACAGACCUUUGAGGCAGACACUGUAGGGUAUUUCUUUCCCUGCUAUCUUAGCUUGGGCUGUCAUAACAAAACACCAUGGAUUGGGUGGUUUAAACAACAUCAUGUAUUUCUUACAUUUCUGGAGGCUGAGAAGUCCAAGAUCAAGGUGCCAAUAAGGUCAGUUUCUGGUGAGGGCCCAUCCUGGCUAACGCCCUUCUAGGUGUGUUCUCCCAGGGUGGGGGGCGAGAGGGCUGGAGGACGAAGGGGUGCUUUCUCUUCUAAUAAGGACACUAAUCUCUUUAUGGGGGCCCUACCAUCAUGACCUCAUCUAAAUCAAGUCACCUUCCAAAGGCCCUACCUCCAAAUACCAUCACAUUGGAUGUGAGGGGUCCAACAUACAGAUUUUGAAAGGACACAAACAUGCAACCUAUAACACUUGGGGUUAUCUAGCUUCAGAAGCCCCCUUCCAGGUGGUCUGGGUUCAGGGGCCUAGACGUUUGCUGAGGAGGUUUAUAGGCACAAGCUAUAAAUACAAAGGCUCAUGGUUUCCUUGACUGCACAGUUCUCUUAAAAGCUUGGUAGAUUGCCUGUGUAUUUGCUGAUGGUAAGUUUCUGUGCAGAUAAUCACAGUCAAAUAUUUUAUAUAGACAUAAUUUUUUUUUAAUUUGGAGACAUUAUUUUCCCUACUAGCCUCUGUACUCUGUCAUUCCCAAAUCCUCAAAAGAGGGGCAGGAAACCUUGAAUCCUUUUGAAACAAAAGACUCAAGUGAGAAGACAAUAACCUAAAUCCCGCCUUGCCGGAGGCCCACCACCUGCAUGUGGCCAUCUCCUGCUCAGGAUGCUACUACCUAAACCUCUUUAGCCUGGGAUACAGAAGUAGUUGACCUCAACCCCAACAACACUUCAAAUUUCUGGACUUGAAAAGAUCUAAAUUGCAGACUUUAGGUGGAGAAGACCUACCUGAAUGAUGCAGAAUUUCUUUUUAACUCUUCCACAGGUUGGCUACCUCCAGCCUGAGGUCCUCUCUUGAGAGAGCAGGCAAUACACACUGGUAUAUUUAAUUUUUACCAGUUAAUACUCCUCACGAGAUGUGCUUCCUUUCAGGGAAGGCAACCUGUCAUGGAGAGCACCUGAUGAAUCCUGAGGUGUGGGUUAAGGUAGAGCUGGUGGAAAAGGAAGAGGAGGAACCCUGGGAGCCUGAGCCUCUUCUCAUUCACUCUGAGCUCUGGGUAUACCAGUGAUCAAAUCAACUCGCUGAUGCAAUGUUAGGCGACGUGCUUGGCUUUAUGGCCCACUGUGCGCUGUCCAACGUGGCAGUCAUGAGUCACACGUGGCUGCUGCUCACGGGAAUGUGGCUUGUCUGAAGGGAGCUGUGAUGGCGAUAUGAAAUACACAUCACACUUGGAAAACUUAGGACCAAAAAUGUAAAAUAAAUCCAUAAAUUUUACUGAUUCCUUUUACUUGAGAGAGGCGAUGAAGUUGUGAAUUCAACCUACACUAUAAUUCAGCAAAUCUCCUGGAUCAGUCUCACCAAUGACAUGCGGCUGCCGGAGAGAGGCGACUGUUUGAAGGCAAUCACGGAAACACCAUGGCGUAUUAACCAUGAUUUAAAUGGCGAAUUUAAAGCU
ensembl:lncRNA